AUGCCUGUUCACAUCCUUUACCUAUUAAAGUUUAGUGGUGAGAGCUUGCUGUAUACUUGUAUUCAGAAUAUUAUCUUCUUCAGUCCACACCUGCAACCCUUCUCCAAACACUGCCCUAGAGUUCCUGGACUCUGCUUUGGGAGGUAGGAGUUUGUGCAGCGCCUCGGAGGAAUAAAAAUACCCUCCAGAGCUCCUCUUGUGAUCAGGCGAGGUUGAGCCUUGGUCUGGAAUUACACCUUGGCUUCCUUCGUUUCUCCAUCCUGUUUCCCUCUUCCCAUGGUUUCUCUCAUGAUCGCCUCUUCAGCAAAUCACCUGCACCUGAAUCCUCAUUGCCAGGUCCGCUUCUAGGGGAACUAGACCUCAGAAAGGGCUUGGAAUGGCUGAGGAACUAAAAGGCAGUCCGUGUUGCUGGAACUCAGAGAACCUGGAGAUUGGGGUGAGGGAACCAAGGCGCAGGGACGGGGCAUAUCUUGGCCAAGAACUCAGCCUGUAAGUCACGGAGCCUGGGCUGGGGACCUGUCCAUCCGACUCCAGAACCAUGUGACUGACCUCUGCGCCACACUGCCUUGGGUACAGGAGGCCAGGGUCCCGGCCCACGCCCUCCUGGCUCAGAGAGGCCACCUGCAGCCCCACGGCCGUGAGCUUCUCAGCAGGGAACUCAGACGCCAGGCGCUGCAGGCAAUACCGCCCUCCAGCGCCCACCAGGAUACAGGCCCAACAUCCUUGAGAUCUUCAGGCACAGUCUCAUAGAAUUCUGGGCCAGCAAGGACCUCUUUAGGGGUGUUUCUCCCUCGGUAAAUUGUGCUAGAUAAUCAGGAAAAUUUGAGAGCUGAAAACUUGGAUUCUCAGACUGUAGGAAUUCCUUUAUACGUGGUGCACAGGGAGGAGUCCAGCUGCUGUGUAUGGAGUACUGACUGUUUGCUAGGCUCUGUGCGUCUCAUAUAUGAUCACACUGAACCAGCAGCCCAUUUUGCAGAGGAGGAAACUGAGGCUCAGAAACAUGACAUCACUUGCCCCAGGUCACACUGCAAGUUGAGGAGGAGCUGGGAUUUGAACUCAGCUCUGUCCAGCCUCCAAGAGGGUAUCUUCCAAGCAUCACCUUGCACAGGAGAAACUGGCCCAGGCAGGGCAGUGCCCUUGCAGUCACACAGCGAGACUGUCAGCCAGCCCAGGCCCGGAGGCCUCCUCACUCCGGCCUGGCCUCUGCCCCAUUUGGGGAAUACUGCCUGUCCCCACUUCACCCACAAAAUGUCUGUAGGCUGCAAAGGAGCC